rnacentral:rRNA from 1 species
UGCAAGUCGUACGCUUCUUUUUCCACCGGAGCUUGCUCCACCGGAAAAAGAAGAGUGGCGAACGGGUGAGUAACACGUGGGUAACCUGCCCAUCAGAAGGGGAUAACACUUGGAAACAGGUGCUAAUACCGUAUAACAAUCGAAACCGCAUGGUUUUGAUUUGAAAGGCGCUUUCGGGUGUCGCUGAUGGAUGGACCCGCGGUGCAUUAGCUAGUUGGUGAGGUAACGGCUCACCAAGGCCACGAUGCAUAGCCGACCUGAGAGGGUGAUCGGCCACAUUGGGACUGAGACACGGCCCAAACUCCUACGGGAGGCAGCAGUAGGGAAUCUUCGGCAAUGGACGAAAGUCUGACCGAGCAACGCCGCGUGAGUGAAGAAGGUUUUCGGAUCGUAAAACUCUGUUGUUAGAGAAGAACAAGGAUGAGAGUAACUGUUCAUCCCUUGACGGUAUCUAACCAGAAAGCCACGGCUAACUACGUGCCAGCAG